UUUCAUUGUUUAUUUGCUUUGUAUCUUAUACAUAACGAAGCGCUUAUUAGCGCUGCAAUAAUUUCAAAUGCAUAUUUCAUGAAUUAUCUUGCAAGUGGAUAAUCAAACUUAAACUAACGGUAACAUAAAAAGUGCCGUGACCAAGAUACGUGUCUGUCCGUAGGCUCCCCAAAAAAAUUGAUAUUAUUCAUUUUUUCAACAGAAUGUCUACAAAACGGAAAUAUAACGACAUGAUUGGGUCUAUGCUGGUUAUAGCUACCCUCUGGUCGGUCAGACCUAGCCCAGCCACGCCGCUAUUACAGCUUAUUUGACAAUUUGGUAGACAGCUGUAUACUAACGUCCUAGUAACGGGUGGGUACCCGUUCCAUACCUGAGUGAAUAGGCCACGAGACUAGGGCAACCGCUGAUUGUAAAGAAAAUACAACAAAGGUUGAGAAAUAUACAUUUUAAAGAUCUUUCGUAUUACCGUGAAACAGAUCAAUUCAAUGUUAUAUUGAUCCUUGAACAAUCUAUAUAGUCUACAUGGGUUGCUUGUAGCUAUUUAUAGCUUGAUGUGUUUAAGCUAUUUUUAUCGAGUUGUUAUGAAAUUUCAAAAAUAAAUACAAGUCAAACACAUUCAAAGUAUUUGCGUUUUACAGAAAAGAAGAAAGGAAAAUACAGAAAUAAAGUAUGGAAGACAAUAAAAAGAGGAAUUUGCCAAACGUUCGGUCAGGAUUCUCUCCGGGAGAUAUGAGUGCCAGUUUAUCACCCCCGCCGAAGACCAAACCUACAGAUGUUUUACCAAGACCAAACCCACGGCCACCGGCUCCACCGCCGCGGGACCACAUCGCCGGAAUACCUAAAACUUCGGACAGGGCUUGAAAAGUUGCAGUUAGAAUAGCACACAGAUCAGACAAAACAUUCGGCUACAGUGCUAGUUGUAAUCAAUUGAUCUAAAACUAUUCAAUAUUCACUCGUUAUGAUCAUAUUAAUUAAUCUGGAAAGAAACGUGACCUAAGCAGGAAAGUAAAACUAAACUCUUCGCGUGAGGAUCGGAAAAGGGGACACACUUACUAUAUAUAAAACCAUUUCAUUGUGAGAAUACAGCUUGAAUUAAUUAUCUUACAUUUUUUGAUAAAAAUGAAUAAAAAAUAUUCACAAGUAUAAUAGAAAAGAAAUGUUGUG